AUGGAUUUUCUAAUUCUCACAUUCCUGUUGCUCAGUGUUACAGGAUCCAGUGGAGAAUUUGUGUUAACCCAGUCUCCAGCUUCCAUGGCUGUUUCCCCAGGAGAGAGAGAGUCACCCUCAACUGCAAGGGCAGCUCAAGUAUAAACACCAGGGACUUAAGCUGGUCCCAACAGAAGCCAGGAGCCAGUCCACAGAUCCUUAUUCAUGGUACAUCCAAGCUGGCCUCUGGGACCCCUGGCUGGUUCAGGGGCAGUGGCUCAGGGACAGAUUACUCUCUGACCAUCAGCAGCAUCCAGGCAGAAGACCCCACAAGCUAUUACUGUCAGGCUUGGUACAGUCCUGAGAUUGUACCACAGUGUUAA